UAGUGAUUAACGCGAAGAACCUUACCCAGGCUCGAACGGUGAGUGACAUCCGGCGAAAGUCGGCUUCCGCAAGGACACUUGUCGAGGUGCUGCAUGGCUGUCGUCAGCUCGUGUCGUGAGAUGUUGGGUUAAGUCCCGCAACGAGCGCAACCCUUGUCCUCUGUUGCCAUCAGGUUAUGCUGGGCACUCUGAGGAGACUGCCGGUGACAAACCGGAGGAAGGUGGGGAUGACGUCAAGUCAGCAUGGCCUUUAUGUCUGGGGCUACACACGUGCUACAAUGGCAGAUACAAACCGUCGCGAUACCGCAAGGUGGAGCUAAUCGGAUAAAGUCUGUCUCAGUUCGGAUUGCAGGCUGCAACUCGCCUGCAUGAAGUUGGAAUCGCUAGUAAUCGCGGAUCAGCACGCCGCGGUGAAUACGUUCCCGGGCCUUGUCACACCGAAUCGAAUUC
rnacentral:rRNA from 1 species